GACAUUCUCCACUGGCUGAAAGUUUCUUAUCUAGUUUCAAGGACACUUUUAUUUUUAAAUCUCUUUUCCAUUGGGCCUGUACGUGUGAAGUCAGGUAGCAGAUACAAAGGCUGGCUCAGGAAUACCCACAAGCUGCCUGAUUUCCAUUGCAUACCAUAAUUAUAGUAGCAUACACUUUGGACUGACAGCAUUUCUCAGCAACAGAGUACUUUGGAAAUAUUAAUCUCACAUCAGCUAUUUGUGUUGAAUGUUGGCUUAUUCAGCAGGUGAUGCGAGCCAAUAUUAUCAUACUUUUAUGGACAGCAAAACAGAGAAAGAUUAAAUGACCCACCUAAGGAGAAGCAGCAUGUCCAAGAGAAAACCUAGUUAAGCUUGGGGAUUUACUGCCUCCCAGUGAAGUAAAAAUGUCUGCAAUACUUCUGAGAAGCUAGCAUAUAUAUACCUCCAAUAACUUUGAAAAUAUACUGGUUUAGGUUAGUCAUUCACUAGUGUGAGGGACAUUCUCAUUGCAUGGUAUUGCAAAAGCCAACAGAGCUGGUGUUUUAGACAGCAACAGCCAGAUCCUCCAAAAUGUCACUGUGUUCCUCCAUGUGCAAGUCCCACAGACUUACAUUUCUCAAAGGAGAGCUGAAUCUUCAGCUGGUAAUUAAUAUAAGCUGUGAUUAGCUUGUGAUUUGGCAAAAAUGGCCAAAGGUUUGGCUCUUUUAACCUUGUCUUCUCACUCUUCACCAUUUCCCAUUCUGUGAGCUGAGAGGGACUCAGAUGGGACUGUUCCCAGUGAUGAGGAUGAGCUGCAUGAUGGGGAACAGAAGUUCUGUGUCCAUGCAACUCGUACAACAUCAAAUCUCAAGUGACCUAGACAACAAAUGCUUAACAACUUGCUGAGAGACUUUGAAAUUAAAUUCAGCUGUAAUAUCA
rnacentral:lncRNA from 12 species